UAGGGAAUUUUCGUCAAUGGGCGCAAGCCUGAACGAGCGAUGCCGCGUGAGUGAAGAAGGCCUUCGGGUCGUAAAGCUCUGUUGCGGGGGAAAAAAGGCAGCAUCAGGAAAUGGGUGCUGACUGAUGGUGCCCCGCCAGAAAGUCACGGCUAACUACGUGCCAGCAGCCGCGGUAAUACGUAGGUGGCGAGCGUUAUCCGGAAUGAUUGGGCGUAAAGGGUGCGCAGGCGGUCCUGCAAGUCUGGAGUGAAACGCAUGAGCUCAACUCAUGCAUGGCUUUGGAAACUGGAGGACUGGAGAGCAGGAGAGGGCGGUGGAACUCCAUGUGUAGCGGUAAAAUGCGUAGAUAUAUGGAAGAACACCAGUGGCGAAGGCGGCCGCCUGGCCUGUUGCUGACGCU
rnacentral:rRNA from 1 species